rnacentral:rRNA from 1 species
UAGGGAAUCUUCCGCAAUGGACGCAAGUCUGACGGAGCAACGCCGCGUGAGUGAAGAAGGAUUUCGGUUCGUAAAACUCUGUUGUUAGAGAAGAACAGCGCAUAGAGUAACUGUUAUGCGUGUGACGGUAUCUAACCAGAAAGCCACGGCUAACUACGUGCCAGCAGCCGCGGUAAUACGUAGGUGGCAAGCGUUGUCCGGAUUUAUUGGGCGUAAAGCGAGCGCAGGCGGUCAAUUAAGUCUGAUGUGAAAGCCCCCGGCUCAACCGGGGAGGGUCAUUGGAAACUGGUUGACUCGAGUGCAGAAGAGGAGAGUGGAAUUCCAUGUGUAGCGGUGAAAUGCGUAGAUAUAUGGAGGAACACCAGUGGCGAAGGCGACUCUCUGGUCUGUAACUGACGCUGAGGUUCGAAAGCGUGGGUAGCAAACAGG